GAGGGGGGGAUCUUAGGACCUCUCGCUACAGGGGCGGCCGAUGGCAGAUUAGCUAGUUGGUGGGGUAAAGGCCUACCAAGGCGACGAUCUGUAGCUGGUCUGAGAGGACGACCAGCCACACUGGGACUGAGACACGGCCCAGACUCCUACGGGAGGCAGCAGUGGGGAAUUUUGGACAAUGGGGGCAACCCUGAUCCAGCAAUGCCGCGUGUGUGAAGAAGGCCUUCGGGUUGUAAAGCACUUUUGUCCGGAAAGAAAACGCUCUGGUUAAUACCCGGGGCGGAUGACGGUACCGGAAGAAUAAGCACCGGCUAACUACGUGCCAGCAGCCGCGGUAAUACGUAGGGUGCAAGCGUUAAUCGGAAUUACUGGGCGUAAAGCGUGCGCAGGCGGUCCGCUAAGACAGAUGUGAAAUCCCCGGGCUUAACCUGGGAACUGCAUUUGUGACUGGCGGG
rnacentral:rRNA from 1 species